UACGGGGGGGGCAAGCGUUGUUCGGAAUUACUGGGCGUAAAGGGCGCGUAGGCGGCUUUUCAAGUCGGGCGUGAAAUCUCCAGGCUUAACCUGGAAGGGUCGUUCGAUACUGUUAAGCUAGAGUGUGGAAGAGGCUACUGGAAUUCCGUGUGUAGCGGUGAAAUGCGUAGAUAUCGAGAGGAACACCUGCGGCGAAGGCGGGUUGCUGGGCUGACACUGACGCUGAUGCGCGAAAGCCAGGGGAGCGAACGGG
rnacentral:rRNA from 1 species